rnacentral:lncRNA from 10 species
CUUCCUUCCCGCUCCGUGCCGCGCGUCCCGGCACCCUUAGGCCCACUCCGGGAGGGGUCUGCGUCCUGGGCCCGCCUGCCGGCUGUUCCGUGUCCCGCCGUGCCCGUCGCGGGCGGCCUCGCGCCUGUUCCGCUGCAGGUUGGCCCCGGCGGCGGGAGCGCCCCCGAUCCGGACAAAGAAACGAGCGCUCGGCUGGAGUCCAGUGGCACGAUUUCUGCUCACUGCAGCCUCCACCUCCCGGCCUCAGGUGAUCCUCCCAGCUCAGCCUCCUGAAUAACUAGGACCACAGGCGUACACCACCACACCGGGCUGUUUUAUGUAUUUUCUGUGGAGACGGGGUUUCGCCACGUUGCCCUGGCUGGUCUUGAACUCCGUGACUCAAACAAUCCGCACGCCUCGUCCUCCCAAAGUGCUGAGAUUACAGGCCUGAGCCACCGCGCCCAGCCUGAACCCCCUACUUAAUGUCAGAAAUUUGAUUUGACUUCACAGGGAAAGCCCUGAGAAACUACCAGAACGGGGUCCCUGGGGCCAGUGUUGGGAGCGUA